AGCAAAAAACAUCCAAGCUACCGCUGGAAAGUAGCCUUUACUGAUCAGCCUUUACUAGAAUUUUAUAAUAGAGAUAUAAUAGAGAUAGAGGUUCUUGUAGCAAUCUACGAUUCAAUCCAGUUUUCAUUUAACAUAAAUUCUUCAACUCGAAAUUACCGUAACAUAAAUCUUUAACACCGUAAGUGUUUACGAUGGAUCGAAAAUUUGAAACAACAUAUAGCCAAGACUACACUCACCGAUUAGAAAAUCGACAAUUAGCAUUGAACCAUAAGAUAGAUGCAAACCUUCUGGGCAGUUGCUUUUCACCACCUGUCGAAUGCACGGUGCCGGUGUUUUCUAUGGAUAAUCGUGCCGGAGAAUCUCCAUUGAAAUCGAGCUACCAACUGGAUUACGACCGGCUGCCAGAGCGAACAUCUUGUGUAAUCAAUAAUGCUGUUGAAUCGAGUCGUUGGCCUGAUUCUAGAUACUUCCAACGAGAGUUCAAAGGGCUUCCGUGCAACGGUGCAUCCUGUCAAUCUAGUACGCGAGGCCCUCAUCAAAUUUGCUCACAUGAGCCAGAAGAAGAAACUAAAAAGAAAUCUCAAUUUGGAUGUGUGUAUACCAUAUCGAAUAUACCCAAAAGUUAUAUUAUAUCAAGUCAUUGGCCUGAUCAGGAUUGGCAACGUAGUACACCAAAUAGGACGGAGUAUCGUGAUAAGGUGGAACGACUUGGAAGAACUUUGCAACGUGAAAACAUUCACGAUCAUAGUUGCUGCACAUCUGUCCGAAAUUGUCAUCACCAUUUCUUUUUAUAAAUUAAUGAAUCAAUACCUACGUGCCCAUACGCAAUAAUAAAUCACACGUAUAAAUAUCUGA